GUGACUCAACAGGAGGGUUUCCCUAAUAAACUUUGUCUGAAGCUCCCACCUCACCCUUGACAGCUGGGUUGAAUUUUGCUUUCACUUUCUACUGAACAAGAAUCCCUGAAGUUUUGUCUGUGCUAUAGCCCCACCUGCCCCUGGUUCUGCAUGACUGGAAAUUUGGAAAUGCUGGAAUGACACCUCACAUUUCUGAAAGCAGAAGGAUCAUCUCUGCAUGUUGCAAAGGGCCUGUCUUAUUGCCUGUCCAAGGCUUGUAAAGGAGCAGGCAUAUGCUAGUAAAUCUAUCUGUGGCAGAACAGGUGGAGCAAAAUGGGAAGUCUCUGCUUAUUCUUGUACAAGGAUUUGUCUUAGUUGCCAAGCUCUGUUAAAUAAACUUCCAGUGUACCAAGAAGGAAUUCCACUUGUACAAGAAGGCUUUUCUUUGAACCUUUCCAGGUGGGAAUGUUUUCUAGUAUAAGGCUCUUCUUUAAUGUUCACAUUGCCCAAAGGCCUCAGUCAGCACCUCUGUGCAAACUCCAUAAGGCAUAAUCCCUGCCUUAAACACCUCACGGUCUGAGCACACAGCAGUGCUGGACAUGGAGUGAGCCAAUGGAUGUCACCAGGUGACAGCUGCCUCUCUUACUGGGUCCAGACACUUCUUUCAUUAAUUCAGUGAUCUUAUGUAUUUAGUUUUGGUCUCUGGUGUCUGGCAAGGAAAGGGCAGGAGGCUGGAAAUAUCAAGAAUGAGGACAUGGAACAGAAGACCACUGCCAGAAAAUGAGGAACAACACGGGGGAGAACAGAAGCCAUUCUGUCAGGAAAAUAAAAUCCCUGUUAAUUUUCAG